rnacentral:rRNA from 1 species
CCUACGGGAGGCAGCAGUGAGGAAUAUUGGUCAAUGGACGAGAGUCUGAACCAGCCAAGUAGCGUGAAGGAUGACUGCCCUAUGGGUUGGAAACUUCUUUUAUAUGGGAAUAAAAUGUUUCACGUGAGGGAUUUUGUAUGUACCAUAUGAAUAAGGAUCGGCUAACUCCGUGCCAGCAGCCGCGGUAAUACGGAGGAUCCGAGCGUUAUCCGGAUUUAUUGGGUUUAAAGGGAGCGUAGGUGGAUUGUUAAGUCAGUUGUGAAAGUUUGCGGCUCAACCGUAAAAUUGCAGUUGAAACUGGCAGUCUUGAGUACAGUAGAGGUGGGCGGAAUUCGUGGUGUAGCAGUGAAAUGCUUAGAUAUCACGAAGAACUCCGAUUGCGAAGGCAGCUCACUGGACUGCAACUGACACUGAGGCUCGAAAGUGUGGGUAUCAAACAGGAUUAGAUACCCCAGUAGUC